rnacentral:rRNA from 1 species
AGAGUUUGAUCCUGGCUCAGGACGAACGCUGGCGGCGCGCUUAACACAUGCAAGUCGAGCGAGAACCAACCCUUCGGGGUUGGGGAAAGCGGCGAACGGGUGAGUAACACGUGGGUAAUCAACCCUCGAUUCUGGGACAACCCGGGGAAACUCGGGCUAAUACCGGAUAGCCUCCGAAGCCUUCGGGCGUCGGAGAAAAGGUAGCUUCGGCCUCCGAUCGGGGACGAGCCUGCGGCGGAUUAGCUUGUUGGCGGGGUAACGGCCCACCAAGGCGACGAUCCGUAGCUGGUCUGAGAGGAUGAUCAGCCACACUGGGACUGAGACACGGCCCAGACUCCUACGGGAGGCAGCAGUGGGGAAUCUUGCGCAAUGGGCGAAAGCCUGACGCAGCGACGCCGCGUGGGGGAAGAAGGCCUUCGGGUUGUAAACCUCUUUCAGGAGGGACGAAGCUACUCGGGUUAAUAGCCCAGAGGGUGACGGUACCUCCAGAAGAAGCCCCGGCUAACUACGUGCCAGCAGCCGCGGUAAUACGUAGGGGGCAAGCGUUGUCCGGAUUUAUUGGGCGUAAAGAGCGUGUAGGCGGCCUGAUAGGUCGGUUGUGAAAACUCGAGGCUCAACCUCGAGACGUCGACCGAAACCCUCAGGCUAGAGUCCGGAAGAGGAGAAUGGAAUUCCUGGUGUAGCGGUGAAAUGCGCAGAUAUCAGGAAGAACACCCGUGGCGAAGGCGGUUCUCUGGGACGGUACUGACGCUGAGACGCGAAAGCGUGGGGAGCGAACAGGAUUAGAUACCCUGGUAGUCCACGCCGUAAACGAUGGGUGCUAGGUGUGGGCGGUGUCGACUCCGUCCGUGCCGAAGCUAACGCAUUAAGCACCCCGC